AGUGAACGCUGGCGGCGUGCUUAACACAUGCAAGUCGAACGAGAACGGAUUAUAGCUUGCUAUAAUUGUCAGCUAAGUGGCGCACGGGUGAGUAAUGUAUAGGUAAUAUGCCUCUUACUAAGGGAUAACAAAUGGAAACGUUUGCUAAUACCUUAUACUCCUUAUUAACAUAAGUUAAUAGUGGAAAGAUUUAUUGGUAAGAGAUUAGCCUGUAUUGUAUCAGUUAGUUGGUGGGGUAAUGGCUUACCAAGACUAUGACACAUAACUGGUUUGAGAGGAUGAUCAGUCACACUGGAACUGAGACACGGUCCAGACUCCUACGGGAGGCAGCAGUGGGGAAUAUUGCACAAUGGACGAAAGUCUGAUGCAGCAACGCCGCGUGGAGGAUGACACAUUUCGGUGCGUAAACUCCUUUUAUAUGAGAAGAUAAUGACGGUAUUAUAUGAAUAAGCACCGGCUAACUCCGUGCCAGCCGCCGCGGUAA
rnacentral:rRNA from 1 species